GAUGAACGCUGGCGGCGUGCCUAAUACAUGCAAGUCGAGCGAACAGAUGAGGAGCUUGCUCCUCUGACGUUAGCGGCGGACGGGUGAGUAACACGUGGAUAACCUACCUAUAAGACUGGGAUAACUUCGGGAAACCGGAGCUAAUACCGGAUAAUAUAUUGAACCGCAUGGUUCAAUAGUGAAAGACGGUUUUGCUGUCACUUAUAGAUGGAUCCGCGCCGCAUUAGCUAGUUGGUAAGGUAACGGCUUACCAAGGCAACGAUGCGUAGCCGACCUGAGAGGGUGAUCAGCCACACUGGAACUGAGACACGGUCCAGACUCCUACGGGAGGCAGCAGUAGGGAAUCUUCCGCAAAGGGCGAAAGCCUGACGGAGCAACGCCGCGUGAGUGAUGAAGGUCUUCGGAUCGUAAAACUCUGUUAUUAGGGAAGAACAAAUGUGUAAGUAACUAUGCACGUCUUGACGGUACCUAAUCAGAAAGCCACGGCUAACUACGUG
rnacentral:rRNA from 1 species